UUGCAUUCUCCCAGGACAAAGACACGAAACUACUUAUUUUAUCUUGUCUCGCCCUUGAGUGAAAUCCUAUGCAUCUUUGGUCCAGAAUGGCUUCUCAGGGGAAGGAUUGUACAUCAUGAAGCUUCACACUCUCCUUAGACCUGAUGCCAAAAGAACAGAAAGGAAGGGGAAAGGGUCCUGCUCCCUUCUGUACUCCUGCGAAUGCAGCUCCCUCAGAUCACUCCAGCCAUUUCAUUACUCCGUAAAUGCAACACUUUCUGAAGGAAAUUCACUGUUGAAUUAAGGGGGGAAAGUGGGAUACAAAACAAAUGUUGGUGGUAAUGAAUUGAAGUGAUGAUCUGAGGAGCUCAUAGUGCUUCAUAAGCAUUAAUUAAUUAAACCCGACCAGAUCCCAGUGAGGUAGGCAUUAUGGCCCAUACUUCACUGCUGGCUGCGGUGUGCUAUUUCUGUCUCAAUAUCAUUUUGUUAAUAUGUAUUCUGAUGCGUGGACUGAAAUGGUGUCUGACUAGUAGAGAUGACUGUGCAUAUAUUUAAGCUGUGAAUAUUUUGCAUGAUGAGACUUCACAUGGGCAAAAUUUUAUUUUUUUAUUUUUAUUUUUUUCCAUACAGCCUUGUUCCUGAAUAGAAAGUGUAUGAUAAAUGAGUUACACAGAAAGCACUGAAGGGCUGCUGGCAAUGUAUAGUUAUGUACGGUAUAUAGCUCAUUCUGUUACUGAAUUACAGCUAAUAUCUCUUCAUUUUGUCACUGAAAACCUGAGUGCACUUCAAUGAAUAUGAAAUUUUCUUUCUUUUGUAAUAUAAUUUACCUAAUUGCCGUAAGAAUUUAACCUAUGAUUUUAACUGCAAUUAUUAGAGAUGUG